UACAGAGGGUGCUAGCGUUGUUCGGAUUUACUGGGCGUAAAGGGCGCGUAGGCGGCCAGCACAAGUCAGUUGUGAAAUCUCCGAGCUUAACUCGGAACGGUCAACUGAUACUGUGCGGCUAGAGUGCGGAAGGGGCAACUGGAAUUCUUGGUGUAGCGGUGAAAUGCGUAGAUAUCAAGAGGAACACCUGCGGCGAAGGCGGGUUGCUGGGCCGACACUGACGCUGAGGCGCGAAAGCCAGGGGAGCGAACGGG
rnacentral:rRNA from 1 species